CAUGCGUCGAACGCCCCGCAAGGGGAGUGGCAGACGGGUGAGUAACGCGUGGGAAUCUACCCAUCUACGGAAUAACGCAUGGAAACGUGUGCUAAUACCGUAUACGCCCUACGGGGGAAAGUUAUCGGGGAUGGAUGAGCCCGCGUUGGAUUAGCUAGUUGGUGGGGUAAAGGCCUACCGGCGACGAUCCAUAGCUGGUCUGAGAGGAUGAUCAGCCACAUUGGGACUGAGACACGGCAAACUCCUACGGGAGGCAGCAGUGGGGAAUAUUGGACAAUGGGCGCAAGCCUGAUCCCCAUGCCGCGUGAGUGAUGAAGGCCUUAGGGUUGUAAAGCUCUUUCACCGGAGAAGAUUGACGGUAUCCGGAGAAGAAGCCCCGGCUAACUUCGUGCCAGCAGCCGCGGUAAUACGGGGGGCUAGCGUUGUUCGGAAUUACUGGGCGUAAAGCGCACGUAGGCGGACUUUUAAGAGGGGUGAAAUCCCGGGGCUCAACCCCGGAACUGCCUUUGAUACUGGAAGUCUGGAGUGGAAGAGGUAAGUGGAAUUCCGAGUGUAGAGGUGAAAUUCGUAGAUAUUCGGAGGAACCAGUGGCGAAGGCGGCUUACUGGUCCAUUACUGACGCUGAGGUGCGAAAGCGUGGGGAAAACAGGAUUAGAUACCCUGGUAGUCCACGCCGUAAACGAUGAAUGUUAGCCGUCGGG
rnacentral:rRNA from 1 species